ACGCUCGACACCUACGGGAGGCAGCAGUGGGGAAUAUUGGGCAAUGGGCGAAAGCCUGACCCAGCAACGCCGCGUGAGGGAAGAAGGUUUCGGAUUGUAAACCUCUGUCCUCAGGGACGAAGGACGUGACGGUACCUGAGGAGGAAGCCCCGGCUAACUACGUGCCACAGCCGCGGUAAUCUGAGCGGGCUGGCAAGGC
rnacentral:rRNA from 1 species